rnacentral:rRNA from 1 species
AUUGAACGCUGGCGGCAGGCCUAACACAUGCAAGUCGAGCGGGGUUUUCGGACCUAGCGGCGGACGGGUGAGUAAUGCGUAGGAAGCUACCCGAUAGAGGGGGAUACCAGUUGGAAACGACUGUUAAUACCGCAUAAUGUCUACGGACCAAAGUGUGGGACCUUCGGGCCACAUGCUAUCGGAUGCGCCUACGUGGGAUUAGCUAGUUGGUGAGGUAAUGGCUCACCAAGGCGACGAUCCCUAGCUGGUUUGAGAGGAUGAUCAGCCACACUGGAACUGAGACACGGUCCAGACUCCUACGGGAGGCAGCAGUGGGGAAUAUUGGACAAUGGGCGCAAGCCUGAUCCAGCCAUGCCGCAUGUGUGAAGAAGGUCUUCGGAUUGUAAAGCACUUUAAGUUGGGAGGAAGGGCAGUAAGUUAAUACCUUGCUGUUUUGACGUUACCAACAGAAUAAGCACCGGCUAACUUCGUGCCAGCCGCCGCCGUAAUAC